CUACCUUGCUUAGAACAACAAUGGAGCCUGGUCUCCAGGUGGGUCUGGGUCUGGCUCUGGGUCGCCACUGCUUCUCCACUUGUCUCCUGGCUCUC